rnacentral:lncRNA from 1 species
AUGAAACUUACAAAGUCAAUGCAAAACAUGAAAAUUUCAAAAUGAUUUUUUGGUGUUUUUUUUCAAUGGAAUGUUUUUGGUAUUUGGUCAAAACAUAUAACUAUGUUAACCUCUUCAAUUUCUUAAACAUUUUAAGUGGUAAGCUGUUGUUGAUUCAGAAAUACAUGCCGCCGCUCGCAAAAUUUCAAACUGCAUUAUCUCUUAAACGACAAUAGAUAUCUCAAAUCUGUUAAAUGGUAAAUGAUCUACAGUUAAAGGACAACAUUAUAGAAAAAGAAUUGGGACAAUUUCAAAGUUCACCAAGGUCACAAUUAAUCAUCAAAUAUAUGAUGCAAUACCAAACUUGAGAACCGGAAGUCGUAGAGACAUGGGACUAUCACCAUUCAACUCAGGACCACUUGACCUUUCAAAUAUCACAAGGUCAAGGUCAUAGUAUAAUGUGAAGGUCAAGGUGAAAUUUCAUCAUGACCUGACAUUGACCUCAAAUUGAAGGUCUUGAAUUACUGAUCAUCUUUGCAGUUUAUAGUAGGUUGAUAUCUGUUACCUUUAAAAAGAUAUAUACACAAAAUACUAUACUUUUAAGAAUCAUCCCGUUGUAACUUUUGAACAGACGGUCGGACAUUUUUGGGCUUAUUAUAUAAAAUGUAGAGCUCGUCGAGAGGAACAUUUUAUACGCUGUAUGUAUGCAGCAAAGUCUUAUCGUUUUCCUAAUAUGUAAGCUUGAAAUUGCAGCGUAAUUUUUUUUUGCACUCAGUGACCUUUGACCUUGACUGCAUAUUAAAGGUCACAUGAAUUAAAGAUUAUUGGUGAAGGUCCCAAGUCUCUACGACUUCUGGUUCUCGAAAUACAAUUUUUCUAAAAUUAUGUUACAAUUUUUCAAGGGGAAUAACUCCUUAUAAGGGUUAAUAACAAAAUGAUUGUACAUGUUCAUUAACAUUGCCAUCUGUUCCUGUACAUGUUGCCGUUUUCAAAUCGAUUCUAUCUCUUAUACUUUUUGAGAAAAAAUGCAAAGGAAAGAAAUUGUUUCAAGGGGAUAUAACUCUCAUAGGGGACGAUGAAAUCCUAUUCAGCCUCACAUGGUAAUACAUCAUGAUGAGAUCUACAUUAUGUCCAAUUAAGGUCAUGAUAUCUUUAAAACCAACGAGGGGGGCCAUGUUGAAAAAAAUCAAUAAAAGGGAGAUAACUCCUAAAGGGGAUGAUGAAAUCCUUAACAGGGUCAUUUGGUAAUACAUCUUGGUGAGGUCUAGCGAUGGUCCAUAUUUGGUCUUAAUAACUUCAACAGAAACAAGAGGCGGGCAUGUCAAAAAAAUGUUGGAAGAAAAAAAAGAAAAAGAAAAAACGGAAGAAAAACAAUAAGG